CAUGCCCUACGGGGGGCAGCAGUGAGGAAUAUUGGUCAAUGGGCGAGAGCCUGAACCAGCCAAGUCGCGUGAGGGAAGACGGUCCUACGGGUUGUAAACCUCUUUUGUCAGGGAGCAAGAACGGAUACGUGUAUCCGAGCGAGAGUACCUGAAGAAAAAGCAUCGGCUAACUCCGUGCCAGCAGCCGCGGUAAUACGGAGGAUGCGAGCGUUAUCCGGAUUUAUUGGGUUUAAAGGGUGCGUAGGCGGUUUUUUAAGUUAGUGGUUAAACGUCGGGGCUUCACCUUGAUUUGCCAUUAAUACUGU
rnacentral:rRNA from 1 species